AUUGAACGCUGGCGGCAUGCUUUACACAUGCAAGUCGAACGGUAACAGGCCGCAAGGUGCUGACGAGUGGCGAACGGGUGAGUAAUGCAUCGGAACGUGCCCAGUCGUGGGGGAUAACGCAGCGAAAGCUGCGCUAAUACCGCAUACGAUCUAUGGAUGAAAGCGGGGGACCGUAAGGCCUCGCGCGAUUGGCGCGGCCGAUGUCAGAUUAGGUAGUUGGUGGGGAAAAGGCUCACCAAGCCAACGAUCUGUAGCUGGUCUGAGAGGACGACCAGCCACACUGGGACUGAGACACGGCCCAGACUCCUACGGGAGGCAGCAGUGGGGAAUUUUGGACAAUGGGCGCAAGCCUGAUCCAGCAAUGCCGCGUGCAGGAAGAAGGUCUUCGGGUUGUAAACUGCUUUUGUACGGAACGAAACGGUCCUGGUUAAUACCUGGGGCUAAUGACGGUACCGUAAGAAUAAGCACCGGCUAACUACGUGCCAGCAGCCGCCGUAACAC
rnacentral:rRNA from 1 species